GGGAAAGUUGAGUGACCAAUUAAUCAUAAAUUUAACUCUCACUUGUAGGCUUUACAAUCUGGAAAAAAUUGGAUACCAGAUCUUAUGUUUACAAGAUAUAUAUAAUAAUCUUCGAAAAAAUGAAGCUUGUGGUGGAGGAUAUAUCCAGUCAAGUUUAUGCCGGUCGAUGAUUAGCCGGAAGCCUCCAAAUUUGAAGAUAUAGUUUCUUGCCUCACAAUUGAAAAGGUGUCAAAACUCGCUAUAAUGUUUGUUAUAUCUAACUCAAGCGAGGAAUGUCAUCUUUCACUAGAGAUUUGAAUGCAAACCACGUUGUACUUCUACUUUUACUAACAGAGAAAAUCAAGAGUUCUAACAAACAAGUAAAUACACCCGAGCAUCGACGGGUUAACAAAGAAGUAAACACACGAGCAACAGGACUAGAGAUAAAAAUGGCAAAACUGUAGGAAGAAUAUGUGACUUUGAAUCUAUGGAUGCUGCUCCGAAAAGAUUCAUCCAACAAGUAGACGACGACGAUUUAUGGUUUAUUAAUUAUUAAUUAUUAUGGUGUAUUAAUUAUUUAUA